rnacentral:rRNA from 1 species
AUCUAUGGCCAUACCAUCCUGAAUAUGCCCAGUCUCUUCUGAUCUCAGAAGCUAAGCGGGGUCAGGUGAGUACUUGGAUGGAAGACUACCUGGGAAUACCAGGUGCUGUAAUAU